rnacentral:rRNA from 1 species
AUGAACGCUGGCGGCGUGCUUAACACAUGCAAGUCGAACGAAGCACUUUACUUGAUCUUUUCGGAGUGAUUGUUUGUGACUGAGUGGCGGACGGGUGAGUAACGCGUGGGUAACCUGCCUCACACAGGGGGGAUAACAGUUGGAAAACGGCUGCUAAUACCGCAUAAGCGCACAGUGCCGCAUGGUACGGUGUGAAAAAACUCCGGUGGUGUGAGAUGGACCCGCGUCUGAUUAGCUAGUUGGCAGGGCAACGGCCUACCAAGGCGACGAUCAGUAGCCGACCUGAGAGGGUGACCGGCCACAUUGGGACUGAGACACGGCCCAAACUCCUACGGGAGGCAGCAGUGGGGAAUAUUGCACAAUGGGGGAAACCCUGAUGCAGCGACGCCGCGUGAGCGAAGAAGUAUUUCGGUAUGUAAAGCUCUAUCAGCAGGGAAGAAGAAAUGACGGUACCUGACUAAGAAGCACCGGCUAAAUACGUG